rnacentral:rRNA from 1 species
AUUGAACGCUGGCGGCAGGCCUAACACAUGCAAGUCGAGCGGAUGAUGGGAGCUUGCUCCUGGAUUCAGCGGCGGACGGGUGAGUAAUGCCUAGGAAUCUGCCUGGUAGUGGGGGACAACGUUUCGAAAGGAACGCUAAUACCGCAUACGUCCUACGGGAGAAAGCAGGGGACCUUCGGGCCGUGCGCUAUCAGAUGAUCCUAGGUCGGAUUAGCUAGUAGGUGAGGUAAAGGCUCACCUAGGCGACGAUCCGUAACUGGUCUGAGAGGAUGAUCAGUCACACUUGAAAUGAGACACGGUCCAGACUCCUACGGGAGGCAGCAGUGGGGAAUAUUGGACAAUGGGCGAAAGCCUGAUCCAGCCAUGCCGCGUGUGUGAAGAAGGUCUUCGGAUUGUAAAGCACUUUAAGUUGGGAGGAAGGGCAGUAAGUUAAUACCUUGCUGUUUUGACGUUACCGACAGAAUAAGCACCGGCUAACUUCGUGUCAGCAGCCGCCGUAAAAC